AAUCAAACCCGGAGAUAUCUCGUUCUCCCCGAAAUAGCUUUAGGGCUAGCCUCGGCCGUUCACCCGCGGUGGUAGAGCCACCGGAUCGACGAGGGGGCUUCACCGCCUACCGACUCGAACCGAACUCCGAAUGCCGCGGGUACACAGGCCGGGAGUCAGAGGGCGUGGGCUAAGCUGCGCGCUCGAGAGGGAAACAGCCCGGACCGCCCGCUAAGGCCCCCAAGUCAUCGCUGAGUGGCAAAGGAUGUGCGUCUGCCCAGACAACCAGGAUGUUGGCUUAGAAGCAGCCAUGCAUUUAAAGAGUGCGUAACAGCUCACUGGUCGAGUGGACAUGCGCCGACAAUUCACGGGGCUAAGCGAUGCGCCGAAGCGGCGGACUGGAAAUUACUCCAGUGGUAGGGGAGCUCUCCGAGGGGGGCGAAGCGGCGCCGCGAGGCGCCGUGGACCGCUCGGAGGUGAGAAUGCUGGCAUGAGUAACGAGAGCGGCGCGAGAAACGCCGCCGCCGUGAGCCUAAGGGUUCCUGGGCGAGGCUAAUCCCCCCAGGGUCAGUCGGGAGCUAAGGCGAGGCCGAGAGGCGUAGCCGAUGCGCAGCGGGCAGACAUUCCCGCACCGCCGACGGCGCGGCAUUACCGAUGGGGCGACGGAGAAGGGUAGCCGGGCGGGGUUCUGGACGUCCCCGUGAAAGCGCGUAGGGCGCGCCGCAUGGAAAUCAGCGGCGCACAUGGGCCUGAGACGCGAGACGAAGCGAACGAGCGAAGCCGGUGAGCCCAUGCUUCCGAGAAAAACCUCUAGGGAGUGCCGUCGGCGCCCGUACCAAAACCGACACAGGUGGGCGGGUAGAACAUACCGAGGCGAUCGGGAGAACCACGGUUAAGGAACUCGGCAUACUGGCCCCGUAACUUCGGGAGAAGGGGCGCCCUCUGGGGUGAAGGCACUUGCUGCCGGAGCGCCGGAGGGCCGCAGCGAAACGGCCCAAGCGACUGUUUAUCAAAAACACAGGACUCUGCAAAGUAGCAAUACGACGUAUAGGGUCUGACGCCUGCCCGGUGCCGGAAGGUUACGCGGAUGAGUUAGCGAAAGCGAAGCCCUGAAGCCAAGCCCCGGUAAACGGCGGCCGUAACUAUAACGGUCCUAAGGUAGCGAAAUUCCUUGUCGGGUAAGUUCCGACCUGCACGAAUGGCGUAACGAUUUGGGCGCUGUCUCAACCGUGGACCCGGUGAAAUUGUACUGUUCGUGAAGAUGCGAACUACCCGCGGAAGGACGGAAAGACCCCGUGAACCUUCACUGCAGCUUGGCAUUGGCAUCUGGUACGGCGCGUAGAGGAUAGGCAGGAGCCCGCGAAGCGGGGGCGCAAGCCCCCGUGGAGGCGACCUUGGAAUACUGCCCCCGUCGUGCCGGCUGCCUAACGCGCGGCCGUCAUCCGGCGCGCGGACCGUGCCAGGCGGGUAGUUUGACUGGGGCGGUCGCCUCCCAAAGAGUAACGGAGGCGCGCGUAAGGUCCGCUCAGGACGGUCGGCAACCGUCCCGAGAGCGCAAGAGUGCAAGCGGGCUUGACUGCGAGACUGACAAGUCGGGCAGGUGCGAAAGCAGGUUCUAGUGAUCCGGCGGCCCAGAGUGGAAUGGCCGUCGCUCAACGGAUAAAAGGUACUCCGGGGAUAACAGGCUGAUCUUCCCCAAGAGUCCACAUCGACGGGAAGGUUUGGCACCUCGAUGUCGGCUCAUCGCAUCCUGGGGCUGGAGCAGGUCCCAAGGGUUGGGCUGUUCGCCCAUUAAAGCGGUACGCGAGCUGGGUUCAGAACGUCGUGAGACAGUUCGGUCCCUAUCCUCCGCGGGCGCAAGGGAGUUGAGGAGAUCUGCCCCUAGUACGAGAGGACCGGGGUGGACGGACCUCUGGUGACGCGGUUGUCGGCCAACGGCACCGCCGCCUAGCUACGUCCGGCACGGAUAACCGCUGAAGGCAUCUAAGUGGGAAGCCGCCUCCGAGAUGAGCUCCCUUUCCGGUAAGGGCCCAGAUAGACUAUCUGGUCGAUAGGGCGCAGCUGCAAGCAGGGCGACCUGCUCAGGCGAGCGCUACUAAUAGCCCGAGCUCUUCUUCUC
rnacentral:rRNA from 1 species